AAAUUGAAGAGUUUGAUCAUGGCUCAGAUUGAACGCUGGCGGCAGGCCUAACACAUGCAAGUCGAACGGUAACAGGAAGCAGCUUGCUGCUUUGCUGACGAGUGGCGGACGGGUGAGUAAUGUCUGGGAAACUGCCUGAUGGAGGGGGAUAACUACUGGAAACGGUAGCUAAUACCGCAUAACGUCGCAAGACCAAAGAGGGGGACCUUAGGGCCUCUUGCCAUCGGAUGUGCCCAGAUGGGAUUAGCUAGUAGGUGGGGUAAAGGCUCACCUAGGCGACGAUCCCUAGCUGGUCUGAGAGGAUGACCAGCCACACUGGAACUGAGACACGGUCCAGACUCCUACGGGAGGCAGCAGUGGGGAAUAUUGCACAAUGGGCGCAAGCCUGAUGCAGCCAUGCCGCGUGUAUGAAGAAGGCCUUCGGGUUGUAAAGUACUUUCAGCGGGGAGGAAGGGAGUAAAGUUAAUACCUUUGCUCAUUGACGUUACCCGCAGAAGAAGCACCGGCUAACUCCGUGCCAGCAGCCGCGGUAAUACGGAGGGUGCAAGCGUUAAUCGGAAUUACUGGGCGUAAAGCGCACGCAGGCGGUUUGUUAAGUCAGAUGUGAAAUCCCCGGGCUCAACCUGGGAACUGCAUCUGAUACUGGCAAGCUUGAGUCUCGUAGAGGGGGGUAGAAUUCCAGGUGUAGCGGUGAAAUGCGUAGAGAUCUGGAGGAAUACCGGUGGCGAAGGCGGCCCCCUGGACGAAGACUGACGCUCAGGUGCGAAAGCGUGGGGAGCAAACAGGAUUAGAUACCCUGGUAGUCCACGCCGUAAACGAUGUCGACUUGGAGGUUGUGCCCUUGAGGCGUGGCUUCCGGAGCUAACGCGUUAAGUCGACCGCCUGGGGAGUACGGCCGCAAGGUUAAAACUCAAAUGAAUUGACGGGGGCCCGCACAAGCGGUGGAGCAUGUGGUUUAAUUCGAUGCAACGCGAAGAACCUUACCUGGUCUUGACAUCCACAGAACUUUCCAGAGAUGGAUUGGUGCCUUCGGGAACUGUGAGACAGGUGCUGCAUGGCUGUCGUCAGCUCGUGUUGUGAAAUGUUGGGUUAAGUCCCGCAACGAGCGCAACCCUUAUCCUUUGUUGCCAGCGGUCCGGCCGGGAACUCAAAGGAGACUGCCAGUGAUAAACUGGAGGAAGGUGGGGAUGACGUCAAGUCAUCAUGGCCCUUACGACCAGGGCUACACACGUGCUACAAUGGCGCAUACAAAGAGAAGCGACCUCGCGAGAGCAAGCGGACCUCAUAAAGUGCGUCGUAGUCCGGAUUGGAGUCUGCAACUCGACUCCAUGAAGUCGGAAUCGCUAGUAAUCGUGGAUCAGAAUGCCACGGUGAAUACGUUCCCGGGCCUUGUACACACCGCCCGUCACACCAUGGGAGUGGGUUGCAAAAGAAGUAGGUAGCUUAACCUUCGGGAGGGCGCUUACCACUUUGUGAUUCAUGACUGGGGUGAAGUCGUAACAAGGUAACCGUAGGGGAACCUGCGGUUGGAUCACCUCCUUA
rnacentral:rRNA from 1 species